rnacentral:rRNA from 1 species
UAGGGAAUCUUCCACAAUGGACGAAAGUCUGAUGGAGCAACGCCGCGUGAGUGAAGAAGGGUUUCGGCGCGUAAAACUCUGUUGUUAAAGAAGAACAUAUCUGAGAGUAACUGUUCAGGUAUUGACGGUAUUUAACCAGAAAGCCACGGCUAACUACGUGCCAG